GACAGAGGUGCCGAGCGUUAGGCGGAAUCACUGGGCUUAAAGCGUGUGUAGGCGGAUGCCUAAGUACCUUGUGAAAUCCCACGGCUCAACCGUGGAACUGCUGGGUAUACUGGUUGUCUUGAGCCAGCUAGGGGCGAGCGGAACAGACGGUGGAGCGGUGAAAUGCGUAGAUAUCGUCUGGAACGCCGAAGGUGAAAACAGCUCGCUGGGGCUGCGCUGACGCUGAGACACGAAAGCCAGGGGAGCGAACGGG
rnacentral:rRNA from 1 species